CAGUGUUACCGCUCUUUCAGAAUUUGUCUAGCAGGUUUUCUGUUCUUUUUUUCCUGGAAAACCCUA
rnacentral:snRNA from 1 species